GGAGAGAUGGCUGAGUGGCUUAAGGCACACGCUUGGAAAGCGUGCGUACGGUUUUCCCGUACCGCGGGUUCGAAUCCCGCUUUCUCCGCCA
rnacentral:tRNA from 2 species